AUCAGAGGAGGAGGAGGAGGAAGAGGAAGAGGAGGAGGAGGAGACCGGCAGCAACUCUGAGGAGGCAUCAGAGCAGUCUGCCGAAGAAGUAAGUGAGGAAGAAAUGAGUGAAGAUGAAGAACGAGAAAAUGAAAACCACCUCUUGGUUGUUCCAGAGUCACGGUUCGACCGAGAUUCCGGGGAGAGUGAAGAAGCAGAGGAAGAAGUGGGGCUGCCGGAGCGUCGAGGAGUUCCAGUGCCUGAACAGGAUCGAGGAGGGCACCUAUGGAGUGGUCUACAGAGCAAAAGACAAGAAAACAGAUGAAAUUGUGGCUCUAAAGCGGCUGAAGAUGGAGAAGGAGAAGGAGGGCUUCCCGAUCACGUCCCUGAGGGAGAUCAACACCAUCCUCAAGGCCCAGCAUCCCAACAUUGUCACCGUUAGAGUGAGCAUGGCCCCACCACGCCUGGCCCCGGGUGGAAGGCUUUUCCGACAGGGCCCCGUGCUGUCCUGGGGCCGGGUGCUUCCUACACUCUCCUGCACUUAGUGGAGCCCUUCACAGACCACACAGAAGCAAGUAUUUGCCUCCCGGGUGGCACCGGAGGUCCUUACUGUCCCUCAGCAUCUGCGCCCGGGUGCAGGGGUGGGUGGGGGCCUGGAGGUGCCCAGCACCCACAGAGCCGUGCCCUGCAGGAGAUUGUGGUGGGCAGCAACAUGGACAAGAUCUACAUCGUGAUGAACUACGUGGAGCACGACCUCAAGAGCCUGAUGGAGACCAUGAAACAGCCCUUCCUGCCAGGUACAGCCGCGCCCCGGGGUCCUGUCUGCGUACAAGUGGGGGCAGUGUCCUGGUCACCCCCGCGGUGACAGUGCUGCAGGGAGGGCCAGCUGCAUCCACAGGGAAAGCCCUGAGAAGCCUCUGUUGCUGCCGAGGCGAGCGGGCCACCCUGAGUGCCCUGGGCUUGGGGCGGCCGGGUCCACAUGGGAGCCUCCCUCCCU
rnacentral:lncRNA from 1 species